AUUGAACGCUGGCGGCAGGCCUAACACAUGCAAGUCGAACGGUAACAGGAAGAAGCUUUCUUCUUUGCUGACGAGUGGCGGACGGGUGAGUAAUGUCUGGGAAACUGCCUGAUGGAGGGGGAUAACUACUGGAAACGGUAGCUAAUACCGCAUAACGUCGCAAGACCAAAGAGGGGGACCUUCGGGCCUCUUGCCAUCGGAUGUGCCCAGAUGGGAUUAGCUAGUAGGUGGGGUAACGGCUCACCUAGGCGACGAUCCCUAGCUGGUCUGAGAGGAUGACCAGCCACACUGGAACUGAGACACGGUCCAGACUCCUACGGGAGGCAGCAGUGGGGAAUAUUGCACAAUGGGCGCAAGCCUGAUGCAGCCAUGCCGCGUGUAUGAAGAAGGCCUUCGGGUUGUAAAGUACUUUCAGCGGGGAGGAAGGGAGUAAAGUUAAUACCUUUGCUCAUUGACGUUACCCGCAGAAGAAGCACCGGCUAACUCCGUG
rnacentral:rRNA from 1 species